rnacentral:misc_RNA from 1 species
UGUCUUAUAAAUAGUAUACGGAGAUCUUCUAUAUAAAAGAAAAAUCCAGUAGUCGAGCCUUUUUUUUUGUCUGCUAUAAUCACAGCUUUAAUUCUAUAACUAAACAACGUUCCUAUAACAGGUCAUUACCCACCCACCAGAUCGAGCACUUCUGCCUUAUUCUUCUCAAGGAAGAUCUCCGUAUACUAUUUAUAAGACAAGCAAACCCAAAACUUUAUACAAAUAUUGGACAAAAAAUAAUAAAUUACAGGAAUCUGGCAGGCAGGCCUGCCCCAAACCCAGCCAACCUAAACCACCAGCCUUCGGCAGUUUCUGGAAUGCAACAAAAAUUCAACCUCGUGCAGGCCAUAAGUGCUAAGAAGAUGCAUUCUCAUCGUCAGAGGAACUGCAUUGCUUCCUAGCGCUGGGUCCAGAAAAUACCUGUGGCAGAGUUGGAUUUACAGGAACUGGAAACUUAUGGGCAGAACUAACUAUCGUUCGCUCAUUUAUCAUACCAACUUCUUUGCAUACCCGAUCAAGGACACUCAGAAAAUCCCUCACCACCAUGAAGAUUCUGAAAGGGUGAGCUUCUUCCUUAGCUGAAUUCCCAUGGAAGUACUCUGUAAUCUCUUUUACUAAAGACAAGGCAACACUUUCAUGGGCUUGAAUCCUACAGAUCUCCUCCUCCGCCAUUUCCAUGAAUCUUUUCAUUGCAUCUGAAAAUUUCUGGCUGGUUUCAUCCACCCCCAUUGUUUCAUUUAAUUGCACAACAUCAUUGAUGUUCUCAAUGCCCUUGGAAAGUUUGGCAACAUCACUGCUAAGUACAUCAGAAUCCAUAGCAGCUGCUUUCUUCACAUUUGCGAGCUCUGAGCUUAGACCAGAAACAACUUGCAGGCCAAGCUUUCUACACUUAGCAUCUUCACUUGAGAUGAAGUUUGGAGUUUGGUUGAUACCUGAAAGACGAGCACCUUCAGUUCUUAUAAUUUCCU